rnacentral:rRNA from 1 species
CGGACGGGUGAGUAACGCGUGGAAAACCUGCCGUAUACUGGGGGAUAACACUUAGAAAUAGGUGCUAAUACCGCAUAAGCGCACAGCUUCGCAUGAAGCGGUGUAGAAAAACUCUGGUGGUAUACGAUGGUUCCGCGUCUGAUUAGCUAGUUGGGUGGGGUAAUGGCCUACCAAGGCAACGAUCAGUAGCCGGCCUGAGAGGGUGAACGGCCACAUUGGGACUGAGACACGGCCCAAACUCCUACGGGAGGCAGCAG